GAGACCAAUCUUGGUUUCCGAGCCAAUCUUCCAUCCCUUUCCCUUGCUCCAAAUCUCCUCAGGUCUUUGAUUCUCUCCCCUGGGCCCAUCUGCUCCCAUAGGAAGACUCAAGCCUGGCCUCCAUCUUCUCCUGUCGGUCCUCAAGUCUAGUCACAGGUAUUCCGUCUAUUUUUGGGGUCUCCCAGGAGUCCACAGAUCAGUUAUAUGCCCUGACCUAACCUUCAUGUUAUCUUUGGUAUCCCAUUGGAUCCCUAAUUGCCCCUGUGUCUCGAAGGAAACCAUGGUUUCUAUGGAGGUGUAGACAAGGCCCCUAAUAUUCUUUGGUCCCUCUGCAGUCUGGCAGCUGUCUGCCUACUAGGUAGCCAGUGGCCCCUCGUCAGGACUCCUGCCAGAUGGCGUCCUCCUAAAGCAGAUGGCUUGGGGAAGUGCUCGGGUUUGUCCCCACAGGGAGGGGGUCUGUGGUCCCCACACUGGACUCCCCCGGGUGGACCCUGGUAGGGGUGUCAGGCAGCGUGAUGGACAUCAGUGUGGCACUCCUGCGUGUGUGGGAAGAUUGGGAUGGGAGUGUCCAAACUCUCACUGAGUGGUCAGGUGAUUCAGGCUGUGCGUCCCUGUGGUUCUGCAGUCAAUAUAACCAUGAUGUGUUUCAGCAGGACCAGCCGGAGCUGAGGUUCCCUUGGGUGCCCUGAGAACCCAUCUUGCCCCUUCACAGCUUGGCAGGGCUGACCCUGUGACCUCCCCAGACAGUGGAUGCUGAGACUAUGCUGACUGUAGCCACAGGAUCGCUGUGAGGGGCCUAGAGGGGGCCAGGUGGUGAGGCAACUCCACAGAGAAACACAGACCCCCAGUCUCCACAACUCGUUUCCGUGCUAAUUUCCCCUGGAGCCCGGAAGAAAUGGAAACUCCGUCGGGAGUUAUGAAAACAAGCGGCCGUGCUGAACUUCCUACUAGGGAUGGUGGACACGCCAACUGGAUUCUGACAUCUAAGGUGGAGGAGGACUCCUUCCUCCCACACAAGAUAAAGCAUUACAUCUGGGCCUGGAGUGAGGACAAAUAUACACAUCCGGUGGUCUUUGGCUCCUGGAAGAAGCCCAGAUGAAAAAAUUUCAUUUAAAGUUGUGUCUUGGGUCUGUUCUCACUCAGAGCCCAAGCAGACUCCUCAGAUUUCAGGGUAAGAAAACCAUCAGAGGUGGCCAGCACCUGUCCUAGGUGACAAUGGAAUAUAUAUUCACAGACUUACAAGUAUUAUGGGGUUUUCUUUCUUUAUUUUUUAAAGGUAGAUAAUAGUAUGAUCUCUUAUGACUUUUCCAGACAUCCUUACUGUUAUUUUGAGAUAAGAUCUCUGAACCCAGAGCUCACUGACUUGGUUAGUCUUGCUGGCCAAACUCCAGGGAUCCUCCUGCCUCUGCCUCUCUAAUACUAAGAUAACAGGACUAUGUAACCAUGCCUGGCAAUUUAUAUGCAUCCUGGGAGGCUGAACCAAGGUCCUCAUGCUUGCAUGGCAAGUACUUUCUUGACAACUGUCUCCCCAGAACCCUCUGGUCUAUCGCAUCUGCAAAUUUUGAACAUGUUUUAAGUCCCUGUCUUACCUAGUUCCUUGGUACCCAUUUGGUCUUUGAAUGCUUUUAAGGUCCCUGGCAGCCCACUUGGUGUAUCUCUCUAAUGUAUGGCUUUGUGGAAUAUAGUGUAGUGAUCACAUAAAAUCAUAGAUGGUUUGUCUUGAGCACCAGGAAAAAUCACAGAGGGAGUUCUGGAUAUUGUAGUGGGUCCUAGACCCACCCCAGAGGGCCUGGUUAUUUGCUAGGUGAUUAAAGAGGAAAUUGGCCUGGUCCUUGGGUCUGUUCUUACUCAGAGGUUGGGAAGGCUCAAAUUUAGGCAAAGAAAACCACUGGAGGUGGCAGAGUCCAUUUGGCUGGAUAGACCUGCU